rnacentral:lncRNA from 10 species
GCCAGAUAAGGGAAGCAGGCCUCCGAAGCCAGCAGUGGCAACCCACUUGGGUCCCUUUCAAUGCUGUGGAAGCGUUGUUCUUUCACUCUUCUCAAUAAAUCUUGCUGCUGCUCACUCUUUGGGUCUGCCCCGCUGUUAUGAGCUGUAACACUCACAGCCAGUGUCUGCAGUUUCACUCCUGAAGCCAGCAAGACCACAAACCCACAGGGCGGGACAAACAACUCCGGACAGGAGGAAUGAACAACUCUGGACGCGCCACUUCUAUGAACUUUUAUGAACUGUAACACUCACCGCAAAGGUCUGCAGCUUCACCCCUGAGGCCAGGGAGACCACGAACCCACCGGAAGGAAUGAACAACUCCAGACGCACUGCCUUUAAGAGCUGUAACACUUACCACGGAUGUCUGCAGCUUCACUCCUGAAGUCAGCGAGACCACAAACCCAACAGAAGGAAGAAACUCCCGACACAUCUGAACAUCUGAAGGAACAAACUCUGGACACACCAUCUUUAAGAACUGUAACACUCACCGUGAGGGUCAACCGCUUCAUUCUUGAAGUCAGCCAGACCAAGAACCCACCAAUUCCG